AGACCCGAAACCCGGUGAUCUAGCCAUGGGCAGGUUGAAGGUUGGGUAACACUAACUGGAGGACCGAACCGACUAAUGUUGAAAAAUUAGCGGAUGACCUGUGGCUGGGGGUGAAAGGCCAAUCAAACCGGGAGAUAGCUGGUUCUCCCCGAAAGCUAUUUAGGUAGCGCCUCGUGAAUUCAUCUCCGGGGGUAGAGCACUGUUUCGGCUAGGGGGCCAUCCCGGCUUACCAACCCGAUGCAAACUGCGAAUACCGGAGAAUGUUAUCACGGGAGACACACGGCGGGUGCUAACGUCCGUCGUGAAGAGGGAAACAACCCAGACCGCCAGCUAAGGUCCCAAAGUCAUGGUUAAGUGGGAAACGAUGUGGGAAGGCCCAGACAGCCAGGAUGUUGGCUUAGAAGCAGCCAUCAUUUAAAGAAAGCGUAAUAGCUCACUGGUCGAGUCGGCCUGCGCGGAAGAUGUAACGGGGCUAAACCAUGCACCGAAGCUGCGGCAGCGACACUGUGUGUUGUUGGGUAGGGGAGCGUUCUGUAAGCCUGUGAAGGUGGCCUGUGAGGGUUGCUGGAGGUAUCAGAAGUGCGAAUGCUGACAUAAGUAACGAUAAAGCGGGUGAAAAGCCCGCUCGCCGGAAGACCAAGGGUUCCUGUCCAACGUUAAUCGGGGCAGGGUGAGUCGACCCCUAAGGCGAGGCCGAAAGGCGUAGUCGAUGGGAAACGGGUUAAUAUUCC
rnacentral:rRNA from 1 species